UGAGAACUUAGUCAAUGUCCAGGUUUCCA
rnacentral:piRNA from 1 species